rnacentral:rRNA from 1 species
AAGGGCGCAUGGAGGAUGCCUAGGUUCUCAGAGGCGAUGAAGGACGUGCUAAGCUGCGAAAAGCUACGGGGAACUGCACAGAAGUUUUGAUCCGUAGAUAUCCGAAUGGGGCAACCCGGCAGGUUGAAGACCUGUCACCGAGAGGAGCAAACCCGGGGAACUGAAACAUCUAAGUACCCCGAGGAAAAGAAAUCAACCGAGAUUCCCUAAGUAGCGGCGAGCGAACGGGGACUAGCCCUUAAGCUAGACAACUGGUAGGAGAAGGCUCUGGAAAGUGCCGCCAUAGUGGGUGAUAGCCCCGUAUCCGAAACCUGAGUCCAGUGAAAUCGAGUAGGAC